rnacentral:rRNA from 1 species
ACGAACGCUAGCGACGUGCCUAAGAAAUGCAAGUCGAGCGGGGUUAUCGGAGCUUGCUCUGGUAACUUAGCGGCGAACGGUCGCGUAACACGUAAGCAACCUGCCCUGAAGUGGGGGAUAGUCCUCCGAAAGUGGGCUUAAUACCGCAUGUGGACAACUAUUGGCAUCUUUGGUUGUCUAAAGCAGUAAUGCGCUUCAGGAGGGGCUUGCGGCCUAUCAGCUAGUUGGUGAGGUAACGGCUUACCAAGGCGACGACGGGUAGCUGGUCUGAGAGGAUGGUCAGCCGGACUGGGACUGAGACACGGCCCAGACUCCUACGGGGGGCAGCAAUUAGGAAUCUUGCGCAAUGGGCGAAAGCCUGACGCAGCGACGUCGCGUGACUGAUGAAGUCUUUCGGGAUGUAAAGGUCUUUUUUGGGGGAAGAAGGAUGUGACGGUACCCCAAGAAUAAGCCCCGGCUAACUACGU